rnacentral:rRNA from 1 species
GAUGAACGCUAGCUACAGGCUUAACACAUGCAAGUCGAGGGGUAACGAGAGGAAAGCUUGCUUUCCUUGUCGACGACCGGCGCACGGGUGAGUAACGCGUAUCCAACCUGCCCCCAACUAGGGAAUAACCUCGCGAAAGUAAGACUAAUACCCUAUAAUUUCCUCAGAUGACAUCUGACGAGGAAUAAAGAUUUAUCGGUUGUGGAUGGGGAUGCGUCUGAUUAGCUUGUUGGCGGGGUAACGGCCCACCAAGGCAACGAUCAGUAGGGGUUCUGAGAGGAAGGUCCCCCACAUUGGAACUGAGACACGGUCCAAACUCCUACGGGAGGCAGCAGUGAGGAAUAUUGGUCAAUGGGCGGAAGCCUGAACCAGCCAAGUAGCGUGCAGGAUGACGGCUCUAUGGGUUGUAAACUGCUUUUAUACAGGAAUAAAGUUAGCCACGUGUGGUUAUUUGUAGGUACUGUAUGAAUAAGGACCGGCUAAUUCCGUGCCAGCCGCCGCGGUAA